AAAGCUCGUAGUUGGAUUUCUGUCGAGAACGGCCGGUCCGCACUAUGUGCGUGUAUCUGGUUCGGUCUUGGCAUCCUCUUGGAGAACGUAACUGCGCUUGAUUGCGUGGUGCGGUAUUCAAGACUUUUACUUUGAGGAAAUUAGAGUGUUCACGGCAGGCAAGCGCCUUGAAUAUAUUAGCAUGGAAUAAUAAUAUAGGAUCUCGGUUCUAUUUUGUUGGUUUCUAGAGCUGAGGUAAUGAUUAAUAGGGAUAAUUGGGGGCAUUCGUAUUAACACGUCAGAGGUGGAAUUCUUGGAUUGUGUUACGACGAACUACUGCGAAAGCAUUUGCCAAGGAUGUUUUCAUUGAUCAAGAACGAAAGUUAGGGGAUCGAAGACGCUUAGAUACCGUCGUAGUCUUAACCAUAAACUAUGCCAACUAGAGAUUGGAGGUCGUUCUUUUUUUGACUCCUUCAGCACCUUAUGAGAAAUCAAAGUCUUUGGGUUCCGGGGGGAGUAUGGUCGCAAGGCUGAAACUUAAAGGAAUUGACGGAAGGGCACCACCAGGAGUGGAGCCUGCGGCUUAAUUUGACUCAACACGGGAAAACUUACCAGGUCCAGACAUAGUGAGGAUUGACAGAUUGAUAGCUCUU
rnacentral:rRNA from 1 species